UUCAUGUUCAAAUUUCUAAAUUUUUUACCCAAGAUUGGGUCUUCAUUGACAGUUUUUUAUUUCAAUACCAUCGUUUAAAUCUUUGGAUUUUUGAUGUUCUAACUUUGACUCAACAUCUUCUUUCGGGGACCAUCCUUAUCGUCCUUAUCCGCGAUCGGAUCCUGUGAUGGCGAUGUUUCUUAAGUUUUUCGUCCUUUAAAUUGGGACAUGUUAAGAUAUGGGUGUUUAGACACGAUGACUGCAGCACGUGUGUGUUGUUGAACGGACAUCUUACCAUUUUGUUUCCUGGAUGAUUUGGACUACAUUUAAUGAGGUGUUUUGCCAAUCAAAGAGACAAAGGAUCCAGACAUAUGGAGCAAGAUACGCUGUCUUCAUGCUCAAAUUUUUACAUUUUUUUACCCAAGAUUGGGUCUUCAAAGUCAUUUCUUUAUUGACAAUUUUUUAUUUCUUUACCAUCGUUUAAAUCUUUGGAUUUUUGACGCUCUAACUUCGGAUUGUCUGCUUCAGUUUCGAUUGGAUCUUCCGUUCGCAAUGUCUCUUAAGUCUUUCGUCCUUUACAUUAGGACAUUUUGAUAUGUGGGUGUUUAGAUACGAUGACUGCAGCACAUGUGUGUUGUUGAAAGGACAUCUUACCAUUUUGUUUCCUGGAUGAUUGCCACUACAUUUAAUAAUGUGUUUUGCCAAUCUGGUCGCUAGAACUACAUGAUGUUUAUCAUACAUUCCUGCAUAAAAAUAACAUUUUGGUUUUUUCUAACUUUAUUGGAUUUUUUUACCUCUUUGUCUUCGUUUAAAUCUUUGAAUUUUUGACGUUCUAACUUCGGAUCGUCUGCUUUAGUUUCGGGGACCAUCUUUAUCAUCCUUAUCCGCGAUCGGAUCCUGUGAUGGCGAUGUUUUUUAAGUUUUUCGUCCAUUAGAUUCGGACAUUGAUAUAUGUGGGUGUUUAGACACGAUGACUGCAGCACGUGUGUGUUGUUGAACGGACGUCUUACCAUUUUGUUUCCUGGAUGAAUGCCACUACAUUUAAUAAUGUGUUUUGCCAAUCUGGUCGCUAGAACUACAUGAUGUUUUAUCAUCCAUUCCUGCAUAAAAAUAACAUUUUGUAAGUGGCAAUAAUUUAUUUAACACAUCUAUUAAAACUAACCAUUUUUUUCAGGUCUGUUUUUUUUUAACUUUAUUAAAUUUUUCACCUCUUUGCCUUUGUUUAAAUCUUUGAAUAUUUUGCGUUUCAAAGCAACUUUGUAGAUUUGAUCUAAUUGCUCCUUGAGGAAUUCCCACUCCGAACUGAAGACUUGACCGUCGUUGUAAAAGAGUAUCCGUUCCGGAAAGGUACCGUGAUGCUUCCGAAAUGCCUGGAGAGGACAUGACACAUAUAAAGACAUCUGAUCGGAUAGUUCUUUAUAAAUUUUGUCCAGCUGCUCCUUGAGGAAUUGAACUUGCUUGUUGAUCAAGUUUCAAGUUAUAAAUUCAUCUUUAUCUAUUUAUAAUUUUAUUCCUAUUUCUUUUGUUUUCUUAUCAUGAUUAGUUUCUAAUAACUUCACUGACAGCCCUCGGCUGUGAGUAGGGGCAUAGCUAGCCGCACUGGCAAAUAAAACUCCCCCAACGUGUCGGUGUAGUUAUUAGAUUUAAUUGUAAUUUCUUAUAGGCUUUCAUUUAACUUUAACAUUAUUUGUAAAUUUUAACAUAUAUAUAAAAAGAAUUGUAAAUUAAUACGA